UUUUUUAUGUCUUAGAUGUAUGUAAAAUAGCCUUUGGGUUCAUAAGGCAUCGUUGAGUGGCAAGGAACAGGGAGCGUGACGUGUACUAGUAGUUGUGCGCACGUCUUGCUACUACGGAGCAGAGAACCGUGGCGAGACCAACUCUCAAGACGACGUUGUCCUCAUUCAUCAGAUGCACGCCAUCCCUACCGUACAAAUGCAUGCGAUAAAUUGCACAGGUGCAGUAUGUAUUUCCUGUCACCUCAUGCCACCGGCCCAGAGACACUACUUUGCGCUUUUGGAAAUCCAAGACCCUGUCUGCCUCUUGCUGUGGGUCAUCAGGCUCAUGAAGAUAGUGUGAGAGAUCACAUGGUGUUCUUCAUGGAUAGUAAUAAAGGCAUGGUGGGGUAAGCAGAACCAAGGGAUGGGUACACCUGCCUGUUCUCUCUUUUUUUGCUAUCGGAAGAAGACCACUACUCACCGCCGAUGCUCCUCCUUCAUUCUACCUUUCUAUUGUCUGUUUCUGUUCAGUGUUCACUAUUAAUAAGAAAAGUUUUCUCAAUUUAAUAUUUUAAUUGCACACCUAAUAAAACAUAGUCGAGCAUUGAACAUUCA